rnacentral:lncRNA from 1 species
AAUGAGUAGUUGUCGUAGUGGUUGAGUGGUGUCAAUGUAGGUAAAGGUUUUUAGUUCUUAUCAGGUUGUUAAUGGGAUUAGUGGUUUGAGUUGAUUGGGUUGUUAAGUAAAUCCUUGAUUUUUUUCAAUUAUCUUAAAAGUUAAUUUUUUUUAUUUGAUUUGUCUGUUAUUUCUUUUUUUUAAAAGAGAGAAAAUAUCCCAAGAUUUCUGCCAUUAUUUUUUUCUAAAAUUUCAUUCGCUCACCUUUUCAAUUGGUUUUUAAGUGGGAGAGAUUUCAAGACUUGACUUUAUUCUUU